GACGAACGCUGGCGGCGUGCUUAACACAUGCAAGUCGAACGGAAAGGCCCUGCUUUUGUGGUGUGCUCGAGUGGCGAACGGGUGAGUAACACGUUAGUAACCUGCCCUUGACUUUGGGAUAACUUCAUGAAACUGGGGCUAAUACCGGAUAGGAGCUCCUGCUGCAUGGUGGGGGUUGGAUAGUUUCGGCGGUUGGGGAUGGACUCGCGGCUUAUCAGCUUGUUGGUGGGGUAGUGGCUUACCAAGGCUUUGACGGGUAGCCGGCCUGAGAGGGUGACCGGCAAAAUUGGGACGGAGAUACGGCCCAGACGCCAACGGGAGGCAGCAGUGGGGAAUAGUGCAAAAUGGGCGGAAGCCUGAUGAAGCAACGCCGCGUGCGGGAUGACGGCCUUCGGGUUGUAAAACGCUUUCGCCUGUGACGAAGCGUGAGUGACGGUAAUGGGUAAAGAAGCACCGGCUAACUACGUG
rnacentral:rRNA from 1 species